rnacentral:rRNA from 1 species
GGGUUGUGAGGUUAAGCGACUAAGCGUACACGGUGGAUGCCCUGGCAGUCAGAGGCGAUGAAGGGCGUGCUAAUCUGCGAUAAGCGCCGGUAAGGUGAUAUGAACCGUUAUAACCGGCGAUACCCGAAUGGGGAAACCCAGUGUGAUUCGUCACACUAUCAUUAACUGAAUCCAUAGGUUAAUGAGGCGAACCGGGGGAACUGAAACAUCUAAGUACCCCGAGGAAAAGAAAUCAACCGAGAUUCCCCCAGUAGCGGCGAGCGAACGGGGAGGAGCCCAGAGCCUGAAUCAGCAUGUGUGUUAGUGGAAGCGUCUGGAAAGGCGCGCGAUACAGGGUGACAGCCCCGUACACAAAAGCGCAUGUGCUGUGAGCUCGAUGAGUAGGGCGGGACACGUGGUAUCCUGUCUGAAUAUGGGGGGACCAUCCUCCAAGGCUAAAUACUCCUGACUGACCGAUAGUGAACCAGUACCGUGAGGGAAAGGCGAAAAGAACCCCGGCGAGGGGAGUGAAAAAGAACCUGAAACCGUGUACGUACAAGCAGUGGGAGCACAGGUUUACCUGUGUGACUGCGUACCUUUUGUAUAAUGGGUCAGCGACUUAUAUUCUGUAGCAAGGUUAACCGUAUAGGGGAGCCGUAGGGAAACCGAGUCUUAACCGGGCGUUAAGUUGCAGGGUAUAGACCCGAAACCCGGUGAUCUAGCCAUGGGCAGGUUGAAGGUUGGGUAACACUAACUGGAGGACCGAACCGACUAAUGUUGAAAAAUUAGCGGAUGACCUGUGGCUGGGGGUGAAAGGCCAAUCAAACCGGGAGAUAGCUGGUUCUCCCCGAAAGCUAUUUAGGUAGCGCCUCGUGAAUUCAUCUCCGGGGGUAGAGCACUGUUUCGGCUAGGGGGCCAUCCCGGCUUACCAACCCGAUGCAAACUGCGAAUACCGGAGAAUGUUAUCACGGGAGACACACGGCGGGUGCUAACGUCCGUCGUGAAGAGGGAAACAACCCAGACCGCCAGCUAAGGUCCCAAAGUCAUGGUUAAGUGGGAAACGAUGUGGGAAGGCCCAGACAGCCAGGAUGUUGGCUUAGAAGCAGCCAUCAUUUAAAGAAAGCGUAAUAGCUCACUGGUCGAGUCGGCCUGCGCGGAAGAUGUAACGGGGCUAAACCAU